GGGCGCAUGGUGUAGUUGGUUAUCACAUCCGCUUAGCAUAAUGCACGGCUGUUUGCGGGGGGUGCUGGGUUCAAUUCCCAGUGUGUCCA